rnacentral:lncRNA from 1 species
GCGCGGAGCACGCCAGAUCUCUGGAGAGACAGGUGUGUGCGUGCAAAAACCACAAGACCUUGAGUCAACAAUGUGGUGGGAGCUGAAUCCUCCUUUUGCUCCUCCUGGGAUUGUGUGAGUAUGGGACACAUUUGGUGGGAUCCCCCAUUCAAGAUGGACUUUGAGUAAGUUGAAAGUCUGAUGACCAAAUCAACUCUAUGGGCAUUCAACCCUCUUGCGACUGAACCACAGACACUGGACAGUACAAACCCAUCCUCUUUAGGUUUACAGACUUGGGGGGAAAGGCUAAUGGAUUGGACUGGUUCAGCUGGUGUGAAGGUGAACAGUCCUCUGAGGGGGAGUGAGUAUGGAUAUAGGAAAGACAAAAGACUCAGAAACGAAGGUUAGAAAUUAGGAGGACUGUAGGUCUAUACCACACUAACCCUGAAUGUAUUUCUGAUAGCCUUUAUAUAUUUUACAGUAUCGUGGGAGACAAAGUCACAAGGUAGAAGAGAAAAUGGCUGAUGUACAUAGGAUAUUUAUUCCCAUCUAGAGGCCUCCCUGUUCCUUCCACCAAGAUUAAUAGAAUAUUCAGCCACUCACCUCGGGCUUCAAGUGUAUCCCCUCUUAUUGAUUCAAGAGUCAGCAGACAGGGAAACCUGCUAGCAGACUCUGAUCUGCCUUGACUCUACCUGACAGGAAAGCUUUUACAGAAGCAGGUCAAAAUGUCUCCUGACAUCUCCCCCUUUUUUAUUUUAUAAAAGCCAAAGCUGUCUCAGUGAUUGGUGCAGAAAGAGUGUGCCUGUCUUAGAUGUCUCAAAAACUGCGAAUCUUACCCAUCUGGAACAUGAAUUGGAACAUGAAUCCUGGCACUCAUGUCCUGUCUUAAGUUGAUCCACCUCUGAGGCAAUCUUACCCAUAUUUUACUAGCAGCCUCUGCAAUGGGGGAUGUUACCUAUUAGGUUACAGUUUUGAGACAAAUAAGAUGGAGACCUGCAUGGAUGUUCAAAAAGGAACGGAGGGCAAACUUAAUCACAAGUGGUAACAAGCGUAAUCCUAUAACCAUUAGAGUACCUAAGGCAAGUACUGAGAAGGCCAAAUGAGUAAAAGAAGUCAGAAAGUAUUGCCCUUCCCAGCCUUGAGCAGGCCGAAUAGACCUUGAGCAUUUGCCAUAUUGGACGAUAAAGACCUAGGUGGAGUCAUCUGCCUUGGUUGCUUAUGCAACUUCCUACAGGCACUUUGAAUAGACUGCCUGCUGACCUUGCUUUGCUCUGCUCUGAAACAAAGGAUGGGUCUGUGGGCUCUCCCUAUAUAAAUGAAGUGCAGAAUAUUAAACUUGGAGCCUUGAUCAGAACCUUGUCUUGGCUUGAUUCUUCUCACUGCCCCCUUCCCCAUCUCUUUCAUUUCCAGUGCCACCUUUCAGGUAAACCCAGUUUGUCCAUGGUCACUGGACAGCUAUAGGUGGCAUCCUAUAAUAAAAUGAGGGGCCUAAAAAUGUGUGUGUGUGGGGGAACCCCUCUGAGAAAUGCUGUCUUGGGUGGAGCUCCACAGAAAACAGAAAAAAAGUAACAGUAUCCUGCACAGUAAGCAAUGAACAGCAUUAAUGCUAGCGCUAAUUAUAUUUUUUGGAGGCUGUUGUUGCAGGAGGUGCAUUUGAGAGGGAUACAGGCUAGACCAAAGAGGUGUUGACCCAACGCCAACUUCACCUAUGGGCGACAGCACAAUUGCAUUUUUCCAUAGCCAAAAAGAGCUGCAUCAGGUGAGAGAAGCAGGGUUUAAAAAACAGAUGUUAGGAAAAUUCUUAGCUCAAGUAAAUUUAUGCUGUCCAUGGUUUCCAGAAGUAGGAAUGAUAAAAGCUAUUGCAGAGCUCUCCUUGGAACAGGAAGAAAUCGGGAGACAUCCUACUUCCGCUCUGGCUCCUACUGGAGAUAUCCUUAGUUCUGGUUCUGGGUCUCUUAGGGAGGAUAUCUAGGUCUCUUUGGGACAUCAAGUUUUCUUCCCUCUCUGUCUAUUGUCUGUCCUUGGUGCAACAAUCUGUCCAUGUCUGUGAAUUUAUGUCUGUUUUUGUUUGUUUGAAUGAUUGUUGUUCUGUGCUUCAUGUUC